rnacentral:misc_RNA from 1 species
AAUUAAAGGAUGCACUUGACAAACUAGUUACAACUUACAACUUACAAAAUCUCUAGUUAAUUACAACAUCGUCAACUCACAAGUGUUCCUACUUCUUCAUCUAUCACAGUAGUUCAUACUUCAGGAUGCUAUUGACAAAGUGUAACAGUUACAUUAUACACCAUACUUUAUUUCGUUAUGUACUUGUAUUGAACAUAUGAGUUAUAUGAAAGUGUAAUGCAGAAACAGAACAGCACGGUUUUGAUAUGUUACCUAGCCUUUCUUCCGCAAUGUAACCAAUUCCAUGGCGGCACCAUAUUUUCCAUGCAGGGCUUCUGCACACCAGCCAUGUCCGUCGUCAACGGUUGGCAUCUUGACUUCCAUGUAGGGAGUUGCAGGGUGUUGACCACCUGGGAGUGUUGCCCAAGCUAGAACUCUAAGCAUAUUUGAAGAGUCAAUGUCCAUACAAAUAGUGAUUUCAGGGAUUCCUUUGGGUGCAGGUGGAAUUCCAAUGAUCUUGAAAUAGCCAAGUAGUUGGUUUUCACAACUGUUCAAGACAAUCAAAGUGAAGCCCUGAUUGUUGUCUAUGA